UGGGGAAUAUUGGACAAUGGGGGGAACCCUGAUCCAGCCAUGCCGCGUGUGUGAAGAAGGCCUUUUGGUUGUAAAGCACUUUAAGCGAGGAGGAGGCUACUGAGACUAAUACUCUUGGAUAGUGGACGUUACUCGCAGAAUAAGCACCGGCUAACUCCGUGCCAGCAGCCGCGGUAA
rnacentral:rRNA from 1 species